rnacentral:lncRNA from 1 species
CAUGUUCAAAUAAUUUUACAGCAAGCUAACAUGCUCAAAACCAUUUUGAAACAAUUCAUUUGAAAUUUAAACCAUAUUCAUGCAUUCUGUAAAUUGCUUCUGACUAAGAUGUUCAAAACUGAAAAUAGACAGUGCCAAAAUAUUCUACAAGUUGUGACGAUUCCAGAAAGGUGCGGAUCAUUAAUUUUGGACAAACGGUUUAAAAGUUAUGAUGCUUUGAAGUUACAGGGGCUUUUCUGCAAAAGUGCAAUAUUGAUUCGGCCGAAAAUAAAAACAAAAACAAAAAGCUUCGCCACAUGGCAUGACGGGGUUGGCCAG